GUGCUCCCUUCCGCAGCACAUAUACUAAAAUCGGAACGAUACAGAAAAGAUUAGCAUGGCCCCUGAGCAAACAUGGCACACAAAUUCGUGAAGCAUUCCAUAUUUUC
rnacentral:snRNA from 1 species